rnacentral:rRNA from 1 species
AGACCCCGUGAACCUUUACUAUAGCUUGACACUGAACAUUGAGCCUUGAUGUGUAGGAUAGGUGGGAGGCUUUGAAGCGUGGACGCCAGUCUGCGUGGAGCCGACCUUGAAAUACCACCCUUUAAUGUUUGAUGUUCUAACGUGGACCCGUGAUCCGGGUUGCGGACAGUGUCUGGUGGGUAGUUUGACUGGGGCGGUCUCCUCCUAAAGAGUAACGGAGGAGCACGAAGGUUGGCUAAUCCUGGUCGGACAUCAGGAGGUUAGUGCAAUGGCAUAAGCCAGCUUGACUGCGAGCGUGACGGCGCGAGCAGGUGCGAAAGCAGGUCAUAGUGAUCCGGUGGUUCUGAAUGGAAGGGCCAUCGCUCAACGGAUAAAAGGUACUCCGGGGAUAACAGGCUGAUACCGCCCAAGAGUUCAUAUCGACGGCGGUGUUUGGCACCUCGAUGUCGGCUCAUCACAUCCUGGGGCUGAAGUAGGUCCCAAGGGUAUGGCUGUUCGCCAUUUAAAGUGGUACGCGAGCUGGGUUUAGAACGUCGUGAGACAGUUCGGUCCCUAUCUGCCGUGGGCGCUGGAGAACUGAGGGGGGCUGCUCCUAGUACGAGAGGACCGGAGUGGACGCAUCACUGGUGUUCGGGUUGUCAUGCCAAUGGCACUGCCCGGUAGCUAAAUGCGGAAGAGAUAAGUGCUGAAAGCAUCUAAGCACGAAACUUGCCCCGA